UAAUGCUUAGGAAUCUGCCUAUUAGUGGGGGACAACAUUCCGAAAGGAAUGCUAAUACCGCAUACGUCCUACGGGAGAAAGCAGGGGAUCUUCGGACCUUGCGCUAAUAGAUGAGCCUAAGUCGGAUUAGCUAGUUGGUGGGGUAAAGGCCUACCAAGGCGACGAUCUGUAGCGGGUCUGAGAGGAUGAUCCGCCACACUGGGACUGAGACACGGCCCAGACUCCUACGGGAGGCAGCAGUGGGGAAUAUUGGACAAUGGGGGGAACCCUGAUCCAGCCAUGCCGCGUGUGUGAAGAAGGCCUUAUGGUUGUAAAGCACUUUAAGCGAGGAGGAGGCUACUGAGACUAAUACUCUUGGAUAGUGGACGUUACUCGCAGAAUAAGCACCGGCUAACUCUGUGCCAGCAGCCGCGGUAAUACAGAGGGUGCGAGCGUUAAUCGGAUUUACUGGGCGUAAAGCGUGCGUAGGCGGCUUUUUAAGUCGGAUGUGAAAUCCCCGAGCUUAACUUGGGAAUUGCAUUCGAUACUGGGAAGCUAGAGUAUGGGAGAGGAUGGUAGAAUUCCAGGUGUAGCGGUGAAAUGCGUAGAGAUCUGGAGGAAUACCGAUGGCGAAGGCAGCCAUCUGGCCUAAUACUGACGCUGAGGUACGAAAGCAUGGGGAGCAAACAGGAUUAGAUACCCUGGUAGUCCAUGCCGUAAACGAUGUCUACUAGCCGUUGGGGCCUUUGAGGUUUUAGUGGCGCAGCUAACGCGAUAAGUAGACCGCCUGGGGAGUACGGUCGCAAGACUAAAACUCAAAUGAAUUGACGGGGGCCCGCACAAGCGGUGGAGCAUGUGGUUUAAUUCGAUGCA
rnacentral:rRNA from 1 species